AUCGGAUUUAUGCCUCUGUAGUUUUCAGAGCUGCGCGCGCAUUCAGCCAGUCACAUAGGAAAGCAUUCAUAAUGCUUUCCUAUGGACGCUGGCGUGCUCUCACUGUGAAAAGCACCUCUAGUGGCUGUCAAUGAGACAGCCGCUAGAGGAAAUAGGGGAAGGCUUAACCCAUUAAUAAACAUAGCAGCUUCUCUGAAACUGCUAUGUUUAUUAAAAAAUGGGUUAACCCUAGCUGGACCUGGCACCCAGACCACCUUGUUAAGCUGAAGUGGUCUGG